AUCUCAUUGUCUCAUUUGAGUCUAACUUUGGAAACCGCAUAUCAAACUAUAAGCUUCAUAUGAAAAACAAUAUCUCUGUUUUGUAUCCAGUUGAUUGUGAUUCGUUUCGUUUCGUUUCGUUUUCGUUCAAUUGAUCCCUCUGUCUAUCAUUAGCUUGUACAGUGUGCUAUCCAAUUGACCUUGCAAGAACGCGUAUGUAGAUAUUGGCUUGUACUUCGUCUGUGUGUAGUCUUGUAACUCUAGAAGAUCUUUCUUUUUUGAAAACAUUUACUUCACAUCCACCUGAAUGAGUCACAAAUGGUAAAUGGAACUUGCAUUUAGAAUAAUCUUUGACUCACAUGGACUGUGUAAGAUAGGAUUUGUUUGCUAAUUACUGUAGAUGAGAUAUUUCAGCCAGAGGUUACUGUAGGAUUUGUUUGCUAAUUACUGUAGAUGAGAUAUUUCAGCCAGAGGUUACUGUAGGAUUUGUUUGCUAAUUACUGUAGAUGAGAUAUUUUAACUUCCAUGUAAGCGGAAGAUGGUUAUGUUCCAUGGAAUACUUAAAGGCGACUUUUGUAACAUCAUCUGUUAUCAUUGUUAAUCAGCAACUUAAGAUGUUUCUUUCUUUGUCAGUUCUUCACCUCCUGUGUCUGCAAAGCAUGCGAGAAACCAGAUAUUAAGCGGGAGUGCUGCCUCUUCCUUGUAAAAGGGGAUGCAUUGAAGCCAACUGAUGUGAUUCGUUGUGGGUUCAUGUGACGUGUGCUUGGUCUCAGCCUGAAGUAUGUUUUGCAAGUGACGAAAAAAUGGAACCAGCUGUUGGGACGUUGAGUAUUCCAUCAUGUAAAAUUUUGUGAAGAUAUGUGUCAAUAUGCAAACGAAUACACGGCUUGUGUACUCAGUGUUGCAAGUGUUCUACGUAAAAUCACGCCAUGUGUGCCUCCCCGGCUGGUUAUAGAAUGGAGGUAUGUAUGCUCACUGUAUCUGGAACCAUUUUUGCUGUAGUCAAUUGUUGUGGAAUUUCUGAUAGACAAUGUGUUUUGUUAAAACUAAAAAGGAUUUUGAUUUUGCUUUUUAUAUGACUUUUGAUCCGUCUUAAUUAUGCUUGGUUUUGUAUCCAUCUCGAGCUAAAUUUUACUUUCUCUGGAACAAAAAUGCAGUUGGUAGACACUUACUAUCUCAGUUUCUGAUUUAUUUACAUCUUAUCAAGGCUAAACACCGUUCAUUUUCUAGGAACUGGCUAUACUUGUGUAUAAACACAUGAUCUCUUUGUUUCAAAGUGUUCGUGUUCGUAUUGGUAUGGUAUUGGAUGUGGUUUUUUUUUACAUGUCCUGCUGCUGAAGCCAUGUUUCAUUGUCUUCUCGUCCUUUUUUUUCUUCUUCUUUCGUCCUGAUCCUUGUGACAAUUUAUUGUCUGAUGUCUCGUAUCCUUUAUAUGUCUCGAUUUAGUUUGCUCUAUCUUUCCCCGUUAAUUAGUUUUUGACAUAACAUUUUGUAAUUUCCCCGUAAUUUAUUGAAUCUUUGAGUA